AUACGGAGGAUCCGAGCGUUAUCCGGAUUUAUUGGGUUUAAAGGGUGCGCAGGCGGCCAUUUAAGUCAGCGGUUAAAUCGUGGGGCUCAACCCCAUUCUGCCGUUGAAACUGUGGUUCUUGAGUGCAGAAGAGGUAGGCGGAAUUCGUUGUGUAGCGGUGAAAUGCGUAGAUAUAACGAAGAACACCAAUUGCGUAGGCAGCUUACCAUACUGCAACUGACGCUGAGGCACGAAAGUGUGGGUAUCAAACAGGAUUAGAUACCCUGGUAGUCCACACAGUAAACGAUGAAUACUAGCUGUUUGCGAUACACUGCAAGUGGCCGAGCGAAAGCAUUAAGUAUUCCACCUGGGGAGUACGCCGGCAACGGUGAAACUCAAAUGAAUUGACGGGG
rnacentral:rRNA from 1 species